GGGAAUAUUGCAAAAUGGGCGAAAGCCCGAUGCAGCAACGCCGCGUGGGCGAUGAAGGCCUUCGGGUCGUAAAGCCCUUUUUGAGGGGAUGAGGAAGGACAGUACCCUCAGAAUAAGCCUCGGCUAACUACGUGCCAGCAGCCGCGGUAACACGUAGGAGGCGAGCGUUAUCCGGAUUUACUGGGCGUAAAGCGCGUGCAGGCGGAUUGGAGAGUUGGAUGUGAAAGCUCCCGGCUUAACUGGGAGAGGUCGUUCAAUACUUCCCGUCUUGAGUGCAGUAGAGGGAAGUGGAAUUCCGGGUGUAGUGGUGAAAUGCGUAGAUAUCCGGAGGAACACCAGUGGCGAAAGCGGCUUCCUGGACUGUAACUGACGCUCAGACGCGAAAGCUAGGG
rnacentral:rRNA from 1 species